rnacentral:rRNA from 1 species
GGGCCCGCACAAGCGGUGGAGCAUGUGGCUUAAUUCGAGGCAACGCGAAGAACCUUACCUGGUCUUGACAUGCCCGUCAUAGUUUUCCGAAAGGAAUUCGUCAGUUAGGCUGGACGGUGCACAGGUGCUGCAUGGCUGUCGUCAGCUCGUGUCGUGAGAUGUUCGGUUAAGUCCGGCAACGAGCGCAACCCUCGUUCCUAGUUGCCAGCGGGUAAUGCCGGGGACUCUAGGAAGACAAACCUCGUGUAGAGGUGGGAAGGUGGGGACGACGUCAAGUCAGUAUGGCCCUUACGACCAGGGCUGCACACGUGCUACAAUGCCCAGCACAAUGGGAUGCAACACCGCGAGGUUGAGCAAAUCCACAAAACUGGGCCCAGUUCGGAUUGGAGUCUGCAACUCGACUCCAUGAAGUCGGAAUCGCUAGUAAUCG